rnacentral:sRNA from 1 species
GCCUAGCCCCGGUAGAAACGGUAUCCUUUUUCUUGCUGCUGCCAGCAAGGAAAAGAUGUAGUGGAUAACGGGACUUUUG